AGGAUGAGGAUGAGGACGAGGAAGGCCAGCAAUGUCUAGAAGAUGAGGAGGAGGAGGAGGAGGGUCAGCAAUAUCUAGUAUAGGAGGAGGAGGAGGACGAGGGCCAGUGAUGUCUGGUAGAGGUGGAGGAGGAGGAGGGCCAGCAAUGUAUGUUAGAGGAGGAGGUGGAGGAGGGCCAACAAUGUCUGGUAGAGGAGGAGGAGGAUGAAGGCAAGCAAUAUCUCAUAGAGAAGGAGGAGAAGAUGGAGGAAAGCCAGCAAUGUUUUGUAGAGGAGGAGGAGGAGGAGGAGGAGAGGUUCUAGCAAUGUCUUUUAAAGAAGGAGCAGGAUUAGAAGGAGGAGGAGGAGAAGGAAGGCCAGUGAUGUCCGGUAGAAAAGAAGGAAGAGGAGGAAGAGGAGGAGGAGUUCCAGCAAUGUCUGUUAGAGGAGGCGGAGGAUGAGGGCCCUCAAUGUCUGGUAGAGGAGGAAGAGGAGGAGGAGAAGGAGGGCCAGUGAUGCCUGGUAGAGAAGGAGGAGGAAGAGGAGGAGAAGGAGGCAGAGGAGGAGAGGCAUGGAUGUCUGGAAUAAGAGUAGUAGUAGGAGAAAUACUGCCAGCAAUGUCUGGUACAGGAGGAGGUUGAGGAGGAGGAGGAGGGUCAUCGAUGUCUGGUAGAAGAGGAGGAGGAAGGGAAGGAGGAGGAGGAAGAGAAGAAAGAGGAGAAGGAGGAGGAGGGCUAGUAAUGUCUGAUAGAGAAGGAGGAGGAUUAGGAUGAAGAGUAGGAGGAAGGCCCACAGUGUUUGGUAGAGGAGGAGGAGGAGGAGGGCCAGCGAUGUCUGGUAGAGAAGGAGAAGGAUGAGGGCCAGUGAUGUCUGUCGGAGGAGGAGGAGGAAGAGGGCAAGCGAUGUCUGGUAGAGGAGGAGGAGGCCCAGAAAUGUAUCGGGGAGGAGGAGGAGGAGCAGAGGGAGGAGAAGGGCCAGUGAUGUCCGGUAGAGGAGGAGGAGCAUCAGCAAUGCCUCUUAGAGGAGUAGGAUGAGGAGAAAGAGGGCCAAUGAUGUCUGGAAGGCGAUGAUUGAGGGGGGAGGACAAAGAAGAGGGGGAGGGCCAGCAAUAUCUGGCAGAGGAGGAGGAGUAAGGCCAGCAAUGUCUUUUAGGGGAGGAUGAGUGCACUGAAUGUCUGGUAGAGGAGGAGGAGGAGCUGGAGGAGGAGUAGGGCCAGUGAUGUCUGGUAGAGAAGGAGGAGGAAGAGGAGGAGAAGGAGGAAGAGGAGGAGGAGGGGGGCCAGAGAUGUCUGGUGGAGGAGGAGUAGGGCCAGAAAAGUAUGGUAGAAGAGGAGAAGGAGGAGGAGGGCCAGCAAUGUCUGGCGGUGGUGGUGGAGGAGGAGGAGGAGGAGGUGGAGGGCCAGCGAUGUCUGGAAGAGGAAGAUGAGGAGGAGGAGGAGGGCCAGCGAUGUCUUGUAGAAGAGAAGGAGGAGGAAGAGAAGGAGGAGGAAUGAAGGAGGAGGAGAAGGAGGAGGAGGGAGUAGGGCUAGCGAUGUCUGCUAGAGAAGGAGGAGGAUGAGGAGGAGGAGGAGGAAGGCCAGCAAUGUCUGUUAGAGGAGGAGCAGGAGGACCAACGAUGUCUGGUAGAGGAGGAGGAGCAGGAUGAAGGCCCGCCAUGUCCAGUAGAGGAGGAGGAGGAGGGUCAGCAAUAUCUCUUAGAGGAGUAGGAGGAGGAGGAUUAGGGCCAGCAAUGUCUGGUAUAGGAGGAGGAGGAGGAGGGUCAGUGAUGUCUGGUAGAAGAGGAAGAGGAAGACCAGCAAAGUCUGCUGGAGGAGGAGGAGGAGGAGGAAGAGGGUCAGAGAUUUCUGGUACAGGAGGAGGAGGAGGGCCUGCAAUGUAUGGUAGACGAGGUAGAGGAUGAGGAGGGCCAGGAAUGUCUGGUAGAGGAGGAGGAGUUCGAGAAGGAGAAGGAGGGUCAGCAAUGUCUGGUAGAAGAGUAGGAGGAAGCCCAGCGAUGUCUGGUAUUGGAGGAGGAGGAGGAGGGCCAGCAAUGUCUGGCAGAGCAGAAGGAGGAGGGCCAGCAAUGUAUGGUAGAGGAGGACGAGAAGGAGGAGUUGGAUGGCCAGUGAUGUCUAGUAGACUAGGAGGAACAGGGUCAGUGAUGUCUGGUAGAGGAGAAUUAGGAGGAAGAGGGCUAGCAAUGUUUGGUAGAGGAGGAGGAGGAGGAGGAGGAAGAGGAGGAUUGUCAGCGAUAUCUGGUAGAAGAGGAGGAGGGUCAGCGAUGUCUAGUGGAGGAGGAGGAGGAGGAGGAGGAGUAGGGUCAGAGAUGUCUGGUAGUGGAGGAGGAGGGCCAGCAAUGUGUGGUAGAGGAGGAGGAGAAGGAGGAGGAAGGCCAGCAAAGUCUGGUAGAGGAUUAGGAGGAGGAAGUGGAGGGCCAGCAAUGUAUGGUAGAGGAGGAGGAGGAGGAGGAGGAGGAGGAGGAAGGCCAUCAAAGUCUGGUAGAGGAGGAGUUGGAGGAGGAGGGUCAGCAAUGUCUGGUAGAG
rnacentral:lncRNA from 1 species